CCGAUCAUUUCUUUUACCAUAUAUGGAGGAUAAUUAUUCAGCCUCUCUAUGAUUGGCUGUGUGCGAAUAACACAAAUAGUAUAAAUUAAAAGGGAUGCAUGUUGUUAUGAGGAAUCAUUUUGAGGUCAGAGAUUCUCCAGGACAGUGAUAACUGUGAGGAAGCAGGGAGCUGAUAUUUGAUCACAAGUGGUCACGCAAGACGCAAGUGAAGACACAUUCUAUUGUGAACAGGACCAAAGAAACAUGCCUGCUCGUCCUUUU